GGAAUCUUCCACAAUGGACGCAAGUCUGAUGGAGCAACGCCGCGUGAGUGAAGAAGGCUUUCGGGUCGUAAAACUCUGUUAUUGAAGAAGAACGUGCGUGACAGUAACUGGUCAUGCAGUGACGGUAUUCAAUCAGAAAGUCACGGCUAACUACGUGCCAGCAGCCGCGGUAAUACGUAGGUGGCAAGCGUUAUCCGGAUUUAUUGGGCGUAAAGCGAGCGCAGGCGGUUUCUUAAGUCUGAUGUGAAAGCCUUCGGCUUAACCGAAGAAGUGCAUCGGAAACUGGGAAACUUGAGUGCAGAAGAGGACAGUGGAACUCCAUGUGUAGCGGUGAAAUGCGUAGAUAUAUGGAAGAACACCAGUGGCGAAGGCGGCUGUCUGGUCUGUAACUGACGCUGAGGCUCGAAAGCAUGGGUAGCGAACA
rnacentral:rRNA from 1 species